rnacentral:RNase_P_RNA from 1 species
AAUGGAAGGUGACCGAGCCUAUUUAUAGGUUAGGAAAGUCCAUGCUAGCACAUUCUGAAAUGGAUGUAGUGUUUGUGCCUAGGGAAGAAAUAACCUAGGGUACGAGUCAUCGUAACGGCGUCUCAUAAUCUAAGGGAAACUAUGAUUUAGGACAAACGUGCCACAGAAACGAGCUUUCUAGAAAUGGAAAGAUGAAACGCGGUAAACCCCUCAAGCUAGCAACCCAAAUUUGGUAGGGGCACGUACGAAAGCGAAUCAAAGCUUGAGUAUGCUACUUAGUAGAGAUAAAUGGUCACACCCUUUUUAAGGGAACAGAACAUGGCUUAUGCAC